UACGGGGGGGGCAAGCGUUGUUCGGAAUUACUGGGCGUAAAGGGCUCGUAGGCGGCCAGAUAAGUCCGCUGUGAAAUCUCGAGGCUCAACUUCGAGCUGUCGGUGGAAACUGCCUGGCUAGAGUCCGGAAGAGGAGAAUGGAAUUCCUGGUGUAGCGGUGAAAUGCGCAGAUAUCAGGAAGAACACCCGUGGCGAAGGCGGUUCUCUGGGACGGUACUGACGCUGAGACGCGAAAGCGUGGGGAGCGAACAGG
rnacentral:rRNA from 1 species